GGCUGAAAUUCGCCUUCAUGAAGCCGGAAUUGCUAGUAAUGGCAGGUCAGCAUACUGCCGUGAAUACGUUCCCGGGCCUUGUACACACCGCCCGUCACACCAUGAGAGUUGGGAAUACCCGAAGCCUGUGAGCCAACUGUAAGGAGGCAGCAGUCGAAGGUAGAAUCAAUGAUUGGGGUGAAGUCGUAACAAGGUAGC
rnacentral:rRNA from 1 species